rnacentral:rRNA from 1 species
UAAACCUGGUUGAUCCUGCCAGUAGUCAUAUGCUUGUCUCAAAGAUUAAGCCAUGCAUGUCUAAGUAUAAGCAAGUCUAUACAGCGAAACUGCGAAUGGCUCAUUAAAUCAGUUAUAGUUUAUUUGAUAAUACCUUACUACUUGGAUAACCGUGGUAAUUCUAGAGCUAAUACAUGCAUUAAAACCCGACUUCU